rnacentral:rRNA from 1 species
CCUGCUCAGGAUGAACGCUAGCGGCAGGCCUAAUACAUGCAAGUCGAGGGGUAACAUGCGAGCUUGCUCGUGAUGACGACCGGCGGACGGGUGCGUAACGCGUAUGCAACCUACCCUUUACUGGGGGAUAGCCCGGAGAAAUCCGGAUUAAUACCCCAUGGUACUAUUACAACACAAGUUGUUAGGAGGAAAGCUUCGGUGGUUUGGGAUGGGCAUGCGUUAGAUUAGCUAGUUGGUAAGGUAAUGGCUUACCAAGGCUACGAUCUAUAGGGGGCCUGAGAGGGUGAACCCCCACACUGGUACUGAGACACGGACCAGACUCCUACGGGAGGCAGCAGUGAGGAAUAUUGGUCAAUGGACGAAAGUCUGAACCAGCCAUGCCGCGUGCAGGAUGAAUGCCCUAUGGGUUGUAAACUGCUUUUAUUUAGGAAGAAACCCCCCGACGUGUCGGGGGCUGACGGUACUAAACGAAUAAGGACCGGCUAACUCCGUGCCAGCAGCCGCGGUAAUACGGAGGGUGCAAGCGUUAUCCGGAAUCAUUGGGUUUAAAGGGUCCGCAGGCGGACUUUCAAGUCAGUGGUGAAAUCCCAUCGCUCAACGAUGGAACUGCCAUUGAAACUGUUAGUCUUGAAUUCGGUCGAAGUGGGCGGAAUGUGUCAUGUAGCGGUGAAAUGCUUAGAUAUGACACAGAACACCGAUAGCGAAGGCAGCUCACUAGGCCUGAAUUGACGCUCAGGGACGAAAGCGUGGGGAGCGAACAGGAUUAGAUACCCUGGUAGUCCACGCCGUAAACUAUCAAUACUCGUUUUCGGCGAUAUACAGUCGGAGACUAAGCGAAAGUGAUAAGUAUUGCACCUGGGGAGUACGAUCGCAAGGUUGAAACUCAAAGGAAUUGACGGGGGCCCGCACAAGCGGUGGAGCAUGUGGUUUAAUUCGAUGAUACGCGAGGAACCUUACCAGGGCUUAAAUGCAGAUUGACAGGACUGGAAACAGUUUUUUCUUCGGACAAUUUGCAAGGUGCUGCAUGGUUGUCGUCAGCUCGUGCUGUGAAGUGUCGGGUUAAGUCCCAUAACGAGCGCAACCCCUAUCUUUAGUUGCUAGCAGGUAAUGCUGAGGACUCUAGAGAAACUGCCCGUGCAAACGGUGAGGAAGGUGGGGACGACGUCAAGUCAUCACGGCCCUUACGUCCUGGGCCACACACGUGCUACAAUGGCAAGUACAGAAGGAAGCUACCUAGUGAUAGGAUGCGAAUCUCUAAAGCUUGUCUCAGUUCGGAUUGAAGUCUGAAACUCGACUUCAUGAAGCUGGAAUCGCUAGUAAUCGCGCAUCAGCCAUGGCGCGGUGAAUACGUUCCCGGGCCUUGUACACACCGCCCGUCAAGCCAUGGAAGCUGGGGGUACCUAAAGUCGGUAACCGAAAGGAGCUGCCUAGGGUAAAACUGGUAACUGGGGCUAAGUCGUAACAAGGUAGCCGUACCGGAAGGU